UACAGAGGUCUCAAGCGUUGUUCGGAUUCAUUGGGCGUAAAGGGUGCGUAGGCGGCGCGGUAAGUCGGGUGUGAAAUCUCGGAGCUUAACUCCGAAACUGCAUUCGAUACUGCCGUGCUUGAGGACUGGAGAGGAGACUGGAAUUUACGGUGUAGCGGUGAAAUGCGUAGAUAUCGUAAGGAACACCAGUGGCGAAGGCGGCUCACUGGCCCGGUACUGACGCUGAGGCACGAAAGCGUGGGGAGCAAACAGG
rnacentral:rRNA from 1 species